rnacentral:misc_RNA from 1 species
GAUGAAGAACGCAGCGAAAUGCGAUACUUGGUGUGAAUUGCAGAAUCCCGUGAACCAUCGAGUCUUUGAACGCAAGUUGCGCCCGAAGCCAUUAGGCCGAGGGCACGCCUGCCUGGGCGUCACACGUCGUUGCCCCCCCAUCUACUCCUUCGGGAUUGCGGGGGGCGGAUGAUGGCCUCCCGUGCGCCUCGUCGCGCGGUUGGCAUAAAUGCCAAGUCCUCGGCGACGCACGCCACGACAAUCGGUGGUUGCGAAACCUCGGUUGCCCGUCGUGUGCGGUCGUCGCGCAUCGAGGGCUCGAAAAAAUUGCCGGGCUCCGGCUCGGCUUUCAACGCGACCCCAGGUCAGGCGGGGUUACCCGCUGAAUUUAAGCAAAUCAAUAAGCGGAGGA